ensembl:lncRNA
GGUUGGUCCUUAGUUGGCAUCUAGAGACAUGAUGAACAGUUCCCUAGGUUGAUAUAAAACUUUUCCUGUGUUAAGAGUGGCUCAUUGUGCCUAAACUAUUUGUCAACCAGUGUGGUUUGAGGACCACAUUCCUUCUUAGUGAAGUGGGUAGAUGAUAAGAGACUUGGGAAGAAUGAACCAUGAGCCCUCCAUGAGGAAUCAUUUUCCUAACCUAACAAGAGGCACCCAACAAUAGUCAGUUUCUGUAAAAUAUGAUGUGUAUAGGAAUGAGUGGGCCCCUGUGGGGAGGUGAGAGGAUUUCUCAAAGUGACACUGGCACAUGAGAAAGUAAUGGAGGGAGGGUUCUGGCAAAAAGAAUUCCAGACAUGAUAGAGAAAAGCCAAAGUCAACGAGGGAGUAGCGGUAACUCAGUGAAGGACAUGAUGGCCAAAGCCAGGAUACCAGAGGCUCAACAAAGAAAAGACUCAUUAGAUUGCCAGGACUUUCUUGCCCAGGAAUAAGUUAUAUAUUCAUACCUCUCUCAAGAAUGUCUGUCUUCUGUUUAUUCUGCUAAUUUUAGAAAAGUUACAAUUAAUGAUGAUGAAAGUAUAUUUGGUAUAUAGCCUGAGUUUCUACAGGCCCAUUUCUAAGUCAGACUUUCCUGCUUGUAACCCCAUAGGUUGAUCCCAACUUGGCUGAGUCUUAGUUAUUUUUGUGUAUAAAAACUAGACAGUCUCUUUGGCAAACUGUACAGGGCCCCUCCCUGGUUGAAUACUUUCUGCUUUCACUUUACAAUAAAAUCUGCUUUCCACUUUCUCUGUGUGAUAAAUACACAGAGUCCUCUUUUAAUUCUGCCUCAUAAUUCUUUAUGGAUUGAGAAAAGAACCCACCAGAAGGAUGGUAACAUUUAGAAUCCAGGAUGUUACAUGUGUUGACAAGAAGAGUCUACAUGAGUUGUCUUCUGUUAAAAUCUUGAUCUUAGCCUAGUGAACUUUGCCACAACUAUUGUUGGAAUCAAUUUUAUUCAUGUGACGACUGGGAGAAGACACUUGGAAGCUUGCAUCUAGUUUCCUCUAGACUUUGCUUUUUUCCCCUUGUUGAUUUUCAUACCCUUUCACUCUACUCAAUCUCAGUUGUUGAGUAGCAAUAUGCCAAGUCCUUUAAGUCUCUAGUGAAUCACAGAAGCUUAGAUAAUCUUGGGGAUUCCUGAUAGUUCCAAAAAAAAGUAAUGUAAAUAUAGACUUCCCUCUCCCUUCUAUAGUGUAGAUCUGUCAUUUCACUUUGUCAUAGGUAACUCUUUUUUGCCUAUCCAAGACCCUUGACCAAUAGUGAACUUUGCCAUUUUCCUGGCUUGGUACAUGCAUUUCUUUUAAUCUUCUUUUCUAGAAUUGAGUACUCUUGGAGCAUCCGUAUUUUAUUGAAUAUUGCCUGAAGAAUAUCUGCCUUUGGUGGCUCAGGAACUUGUAGCCCAGCUACAGAAUAACUCCAGUUUGGCGUCCGGUCACAACUGAGACUUCAGUGAUCCAGUGAUGCUGUGAUUUUCCAGGACAAGAAACAUCCUGGGAGCUGAAAACAUCCUGGGAGAACAAACAUCUGCUCAGUUCCUCAUUGUUCUUAGAUUUCCACUGCCCCCCAUCCUUUUGUUACACCUUGUUAAUCCCAAUGUGAACUAUUGAACUCUAUAUUUCAUUUGUUGCAUUUAUUUCUCCCGACGUACUGAAUAAAAGGUGUGGUAAGCCGGGGGCUUUUGUCUUUGCUGCCCUGAGCAGCACUGAUCAGACCCAAAGCUCA